GUGAACACAAAUUUUCAAAAAUUAAAAGAAAAAUUUCUAUAAAGUAAAUUGACUUAAAUCACCCUAUUACGGGUUCUUGAUUAUCUGAUUUCUUUUGUAUUUUCUUAAUGAGAAGCUAUUUUGACAAAAAUAUCUUAGAAUCACAAUUAAUUUUAACAUAUUUACACACAGUUAAAUAAACAAACAGUUUACAAGCAUUCAAAUUCGGUAAGUUCACACUACUCUUUCACUAUCGUCAUCACAAAACGUGUAAAUCAAAAUCCCUAAUUAACCAGCACCUCUUUUGUCCUUGCUGUGACUAAGAAUUGAUUUGAUUGAAGAAGCAUUAAUUGUAGAUGAUUCACGUUUCACCAAUUGUAGAACCCUAUCUGCUUCAAUAGUUACCUUAUUUUCCUCUUCCAACGCUUUCUUGAGCCUCUUUUCUUGUUCUUUCACCGAAAAAGUGCUCAUAUCAGAUAAUAUUUCAUCAUUCUUUCCCCAUUCAACGUUACCUGAAUUUGAAACUUCAUUGUUUUUCUCAUUCUUUGCAACACCCUUCUUGGACUUGGUAGAGAACCAAAAGCAACAUGAACUUGCUUCCAUCAAAUAUUAAAUCAUUUAUGAACCACUAUUUUAUGAUUUCUCUAUAUAUUUAUAUAUUGGGACCCAUUUUAGGAUAUUUCUUUGAAAGUUUGUUCAUUGUUUGAGUUGUUGAAGAGAUUAUUUAUUUUGGGCGGCUGCUAGUUGAAGUUUUUUACUUCUUUUCAUUUCAUUUCACUGUUCAAGCAUUUUGAUAUGGAUCAACAUUCUCUCUCAUAGAAACGAGAUGAGAGAGAGGGGGAAAAGUUGAGAAAAAGCAAUACGUUGUAAUGAGUUUGUAAUAGAACGCAACUUGGUGUAGUUCGAAUUCAUUUUACCAAGUGAUUGAGAUAAGGGUUUAAUGAACUUCAAUUAAAUAUAACUUGUUUAGGAGAAUAUGAGUUUAAAUUUUGAUUGGAAUAAUUUUAAGUCAA
rnacentral:lncRNA from 1 species